rnacentral:lncRNA from 1 species
UCCUGUCCUCAUUCUCCCUGCUAUUAGGGGAAGUAGAGCAGGGUGAUGGGGUGGAGUGAGAAGCUAGAACUGGCCUGUCCUGCCAUCACAAGCAUUCACCUUCCAGUGAGGUGAAUCACACCAGGGAACCACAUGCUGGAUCCAUGGUGUGAAGUCUGUGAAAAACUGAGCGCCCAGUGUUUUGAGUCCAUUCAAUGGGAACACCAGCAGCUCUGGAUUUAAUGAAUCUGCUCUUAAAUGUGCUGAACUCCUGCGUCUCACAGAGAAAGGGCUCGGUAAUGCUCAGCACUUCUGCAAAUAACUUACUGGAAAUGAGCCUUUACUUGGAGCCCUGGUGCAGCUGCUAUGGACACAUUUCAGCUUUUUAUAAGCUCAUACACAUAAUAAAACAAGAAGUCACAAAACUAGAUGCUA